rnacentral:lncRNA from 1 species
CACACACACACAAACACACAGACAGACUGCUGAGUGUACACACACACAGACUGCUAAAUACACAGACUGCAUUGAGGGGUACAGUGUAUGUGUUUGUGUGUGCGGUGAUGUGUUUGUGUGUGGGGUGAUGUGUUUGUGUGUGUGUUUGUGUGGGGUGAUGUGUGUGGGGUGAUGUGUGUGUGUUUGUGUGGGGUGAUAUGUGUAGGGCAGGGGUGCUGUGUGU